rnacentral:rRNA from 1 species
GAUGAACGCUGGCGGCGUGCUUAACACAUGCAAGUCGAACGAUGAACCGGGUGCUUGCACUCGGGGAUUAGUGGCGAACGGGUGAGUAACACGUGAGCAACCUGCCCCUGACUCUGGGAUAAGCGCUGGAAACGGCGUCUAAUACCGGAUACGACCCUCGGCGGCAUCGCCAGGGGGUGGAAAGAAUUUCGGUCAAGGAUGGACUUGCGGCCUAUCAGCUAGUUGGUGAGGUAACGGCUCACCAAGGCGACGACGGGUAGCCGGCCUGAGAGGGUGACCGGCCACACUGGGACUGAGACACGGCCCAGACUCCUACGGGAGGCAGCAGUGGGGAAUAUUGCACAAUGGGCGCAAGCCUGAUGCAGCAACGCCGCGUGAGGGAUGACGGCCUUCGGGUUGUAAACCUCUUUUAGUAGGGAAGAAGCGAAAGUGACGGUACCUGCAGAAAAAGCACCGGCUAACUACGUGCCAGCCGCCGCCGUAA